rnacentral:rRNA from 1 species
GAUGAACGCUGGCGGCGUGCCUAAUACAUGCAAGUCGAGCGAACGGACGAGAAGCUUGCUUCUCUGAUGUUAGCGGCGGACGGGUGAGUAACACCUGGAUAACCUACCUAUAAGACUGGGAUAACUUCGGGAAACCGGAGCUAAUACCGGAUAAUAUUUUGAACCGCAUGGUUCAAAAGUGAAAGACGGUCUUGCUGUCACUUAUAGAUGGAUCCGCGCUGCAUUAGCUAGUUGGUAAGGUAACGGCUUACCAAGGCAACGAUGCAUAGCCGACCUGAGAGGGUGAUCGGCCACACUGGAACUGAGACACGGUCCAGACUCCUACGGGAGGCAGCAGUAGGGAAUCUUCCGCAAUGGGCGAAAGCCUGACGGAGCAACGCCGCGUGAGUGAUGAAGGUCUUCGGAUCGUAAAACUCUGUUAUUAGGGAAGAACAUAUGUGUAAGUAACUGUGCACAUCUUGACGGUACCUAAUCAGAAAGCCACGGCUAACUACGUG